rnacentral:rRNA from 1 species
ACCAGACUCCCCCUCGAAUUGUUUCUCGUUAGGGAUUUAAAUUGUACUCAUUCCAAUUACAAUACCCAAAAGAGCCCUGUAUCAUUAUUUAUUGUCACUACCUCCCCGUGUCGGGAUUGGGUAAUUUGCGCGCCUGCUGCCUUCCUUGGAUGUGGUAGCCGUUUCUCAGGCUCCCUCUCCGGAAUAGAACCCUAAUUCCCCGUUACCCGUUGAAACCAUGGUAGCCCACUACGCUACCAUCGAAAGUUGAUAGGGCAGAAAUUUGAAUGAACCAUCGCCGGCACAAGGCCAUGCGAUUCGUUAAGUUAUUAUGAAUCACCAAGGAGCCCCGAAGGGCAUUGGUUUUUUAUCUAUAAAUACACCCCUUCGUGAGUUGGGGUUUUUAGCAUGUAUUAGCUCUAGAAUUACCACGGUUAUCU